rnacentral:rRNA from 1 species
GAUGAACGCUGGCGGCGUGCCUAAUACAUGCAAGUCGAGCGAACGGACGAGAAUCUUGCUUCUCUCAUGUUAGCGGCGGACGGGUGAGUAACACGUGGAUAACCUACCUAUCAUACUGGUAUCACUUCGGGAAUCCGGAGCUUACACCGUAUGAUAUUCUGCUCCGCAUGGUUCAUAAGUGAGUGACGGUCUUUCUGUCACUUAUAGCUGCAUCCGCGCUUCAUUGGCUAGUUGGUAAGGUCACGGCGUAUCACGGCAACGAUGCAUAACCGACCUGAGAGGGUGAUAGGCCACACUGGAAAUGAGACACGGUCCAGACUCCUACGGGAGGGAGCAGUAGGGAAUCGUCCGCAAUGGGCGAAAGCCUGACGGAGCAACGCCGCGUGAGUGAUGAAGGUCUUCGGAUCGUAAAACUCUGUUAUUAGGGAAGAACAUAUGUGUAAGUAACUGUGCACAUCUUGACGGUACCUAAUCAGAAAGCCACGGCUAACUACGUG